CUUUGCGAUAUCAAAGAUCGCCCUGUCAAUACAUUGCAAUUGAAAACAUUAAUCAAUAUAUAUACAAUUUCUCAAACAUGCAUUAAGAGAUUUACUAAAGAUGCAGUGCAACUUAUUGGCAACUUGGCAACAUCAAUAAAGCAUGGUGAUUUCUGAUGGCCACAGGCCAGUUCUGCAGUGGUAGAGACAGCUAAAGGCCAGUUCUGCUGGUUCUGGUCAGUCCAUGGAACCAAAGGCCCUGAACUGUAAAGCAGGGGCUGGUUCCAGUUCCGGACUACAGGACUUAACUAGUUGUAUUCGCAAUUUAAAAACUGCUUCAACGGGCAUGCAAAUAAUAAGAACUGCACUGAUGGUAAUGAAAAAGACAGAAGAAAUGUACAUGAUAAAAACACUUAUGACAAACUAUAGUUAAUAAAGAAAUCUAAAGCUGCAAUUGGCCUCAGUAAAAAAUAUAUUACUUUCACUUUUUUUGACCAAUCAUUUGGAGAAUUCACCAAGGCUACUGGAAAAUUUAUGAAUUAUCAGAACAAGUGCCUGAAAAGCUAGUAAGCACAUCAACCCAUGUAACAAUGACCAGUAGGUGUUACCAUCCAUUUAUCCCAAGACAACCUAGAAUAAAGUGUACUUCAGUUACUAUGCAGCGACCACCAUGACCUUUCAGACCCAUCAUGCAAUACUAUGUAUGCAGCGACCAUCCAUUCCACAUUCUCAUAAAUCAUUAUACAGGAUGAGAUAGAUCCGUCAUGAAGGGCCAAUAUAGAUAUGUAUCAAGUGAAGGUGGAAAACAGGCCAUAUGUGUUGAAGCUGAGGUUCUUGUUAAGAGCACUGUCAUUCUACAAAUGAAACCAUGGCAUGAAAACAGGCCUAAUUUGAAGCACUUAUAAUUGAACAUCGGUCAUCAGUGCUUUGUGCCUAUCAGCAAUACAGUAUUGAAGAGGCCUUUUCUAGUUUUCUGCCUCAACAAGAAACCCUACCAUAAGGAAUUUAUAGAUAUGACACUGUAGUGUGAACUGCAUUCAACCUACAACUGAGCUCAGUUAAGAUUUUCCACUUAAAUGACCAAACCAAUAAUUAAUCUAUCAGAAUAAAAUCUGCUACCUUGUUGAAUCAACAAAAAGCAUCUGCCAACAUCCAAACGAGACACACAUGCAGAGUCUCUAAGCUGACUCAGGGAAAGAUAACCUGAUAUUUUUAUGCUUCCUAUGACAAGUGUGACACAAAUGCUUGUCAUUGCAUUUCAUAGUUGCUAACAGUAUAAAUAUGCAUUUACUUUGCUGUGCAAUGCAUAUGAAUAUGGAUAAAAUAUCUGUGAUAUUGUGACAGAGAGAACAGCUUACCAGUAUCCAACUAAAGUAGGCACAGCAUCAAGGACAAUGACACAAAUGAAAGUCGCAACUAUAGAUCCCCAAAUGGCUACAUGAGUAAUCCAACUCCACCGGAUGACGUCCAUGGCCAAGUGCAAAUUAACCAAAAUAACCACUGCAAGCGUCCAAAGAUCUCCUAUACUCGGUGCAUCAAUUGUGCUCCCCCAAUACGCAAGGUGAGGGAUAAAAUAGAUAACCACACUUUGCCACAAAGUGUCAAUCAUCGUUAGCCAAAACAAUUUAGAGUUGUAGCUCUCUUGUCUGCGCUCAGCUCCAUAAAGCUGCGGAUACUUUAGAAGAGUUCUUCUACUUAAGUCCUUAUCCAGAAUACCGACUACAAUGGUAGGCAGUGAAGUAUAAAUUAUAGAAUACAACAUGCUGCUCCAUUCAUUGAUAGCUGUUGUCAAAGUAAAACAGGUAAAGAGCACGUACCAAAAUAAAACAAGAACAAACACCGCAUUCCUGUAAAAAUUAUAUAGUAUCAUGUAGCCCAUCCGCUGGUAAUUCCAAUGUCCAUGCACCAAUAACAGUGGAACUAAGAAUCUAAAUUGCCCCAUUGCAAAAUCUGAUGCCAUUACAGCUUGCCGACCCUCUUUCCCACUGAUGCCAACUCCCACAUCAGCCUUUUGGAUCAUUGAAACAUCGUUAGCACCAUCCCCAAUGGAGAGUGUCAUGUCAGAAGUCCUAUUCUUUACAAGCAUAACAAUUCCAGCUUUCUGCAGUGGAGCAACCCGGCAGCAUAAUACAACUGAACAUUUACUGGCUAAUUUAAAGAGCUGUUCUUCAAGUUCACUGUCAAGUAUAUAAACAAGGCUGGUUCCAUCAAUAAUCAAGGCCACUGGGCUCACAGCAUCUCCAGAAUUUCCUCCAUUGUUGUGUGUUGUCCCAGACACAGUGAUGAGCUUCUUAGACAUGCGCAAGGCAUCUUCUAAACUCUUUCUACUUGACUCCUUAGAGUUGCUAUUGAUAAUAAUCUGUGUCAUUUUACUUGUUAGGAGCUUUGAGGAGUAGCCAAUUGAUAUAGCAGUUUCUUGCUUGUCCCCAGUUAGAACCCAUACUUUAAUCCCCGCUGUUCUAAGAGACUCUAUGGCUUCUGGGACACCUUGCUGUAGUUUAUCUUCAAUGGCAGAAGCACCCAGUAUUCUAAGACUCUUUUCCACAGUGUUAGCAACCUUGCGAAGCAUAGCAGCCCUGCCAAUUAAAGAAGUGCUAGCUGCCUCAAAGGAAGAGUGCCACUGCUCAAAUUCUGAAUCACUCAAUUCACGCAUCCCAAUAACAAGUGUUCUCAAACCAAGUGAAGAGUAAUUGUAUAGGUGUGCUUCAGUUGCACGAAUUAUAUCCAUGUUUAAAGAUCUAUCUAUUACACUAAACAUGGUGGUGUCAGCACCUUUUACGAACACUUUCACAGUCUUAUCAGGACACCCUAAUAUAACCGACAUCCUCUUGCGGUCACUAUCAAACUCAUGCAAACCUAAAACAUUGAACCUUUGCCUUUCUCCUUGAAUGUCAAUAACUAUAUGACCUGAAGUUCGUUCUAUAAGCAUAAAUCCAUAUGCAGCAGCAGCAUAAGCCAGUGCCUGUUCGUCUGGAGAUUCACCUUGGUAAUCCAUCAAUUUAACAGUAGGAUUGGAUGCAUCAUCAAAAGCAAUAGGUACAAUUGUAUUACAUGCUGCCAGUGCAAGGAAGAAAUCAUGAACACGUUUGGCUUCCUCUGUAUUGUUUCCACUUCUUGAUAAUUGUAGAAGCUCAGGAUCAAUCCUCACCUUCAUCUUUGGCCUCAAAAUCUUCCCAUCCACUUGAACAAAGUGUCCAACUUGUUCGUUCACUGAACUGUCUUUCCCACCACUGUAAUCUACUCCCCAUAUGCUUGCACAUUGAAAUUCCAUCUUGUUCUCAGUAAGAGUACCAGUUUUGUCUGAGAACACAAACUUGAUUUGCCCUAAAUCUUCAUUUAUAUUCAAAGCCCGACACUGAAAUGCUGAAUUUGAGGCCUCAUCAUACAUGAGUGUAUCUCGAAUCAUGAAGUAAGCCUGACCAACCCGAACAAGCUCCAUAGAGAUGUACAAAGAAAUAGGGAUCAUGAUCUGGAACACAAUAACUGACAUAAGGAAUGUGAAAAAUAUCUCCAGUCCCCAUCCAUAAUAAUUGUAGUCAUCCUUAUCUUCGUCAUUGAAGUUCUUUUUCCUAUAAAAGGGAAUGGUAUUCAAAUCAUCCCUGUGGCGCCUCAACCACACAGCAGCACAGAUCGAGACGAUAGUACACAAAGAAAUAAGAAAGAACGAGAGGAUGAUAAUCUCAAAAUUCAUGCGUGUUUCAAGCCGGCUCCUCUUUGAAGGGGCUCCUGAGCUAUUAAGCAUAACUUUGGUCUCGCGGCCACAAUAUACUGCAACACCAAUUGCCCAAGCAGUGUUCUUGAGCUCACAACCCCGAAGAACAAUAUUGGAGGACCCAAGUGACAGCCUUUUCCCAUCCAUAUCCAUGUUAGCGUGAAAUCCAUAAAUGUUUCUAUUGGGUUUCUCACAUUUGAUCAACACCCUGACAUUUUCCUUUUCAGGAGUCUUUGAAAGUGUCUCUUGCUUUGCAUACCGGGUCUUCAAGUUUGACUCUCCAUCCAAGUUAAUAGUCUGUACAUAAGCAACCCCAGUUGAAUCGCUCGUAGAGAGAAGCACCAUAUCACAAGGAAGAGUUUCAUUUGUGUGAAUCUUGAUUAUCUCACCAACCCGAAUAUCCUUCCAUUUCUUUUGUUGAAAUUGAUCAUUCACCAAAACCCAUGUCAAUCUAUUAUUCUCUAUUCUAUCUGACCUAUGCCGCCUCCAAUCCUCAUAUGCAUCCUUAACGGCUGUAACUAACAGAACAAAGGAAAGUGGCAAAAUGGAAACUCCCCUUCCAAAAACUGCUAGCUGGGGAAGCUGAUUAAGCACAGCAAUAAUAAGGAAAUAAAUGUAUGCAACUCUAUGAAAUUGCUCAAACAAAUUCCUAGGCACAAAGGAAAGGAUUGAAUAUUUCCCAGUCCGUAUAGAAUUCCCAGAAAAUUCAAACCUCUCAUUUGUCUUUUCAGGAUCAUUCACGUAUACCAACCUAGCAUCUUCGUCACUGAUCUCCUUCUGGGAACCACUAAAACCCUCCGAAUCAGCUCCUCUGGACCCGUACCUGACAGGUUUCGAUCCUAAAUCACCAAAUGUAACUUCCCUAACUGAAUUCCCACGAGAAGCCUUGGAAUGACUUGAGGAAUUACUUCUCCUGGACGAGGAAUUCAAAGUUAUUUCAAUGCUUGGGGAGCUCUCAAUUGGAUUUUUGGAAUCCAUAUUGGAAACGGAUCCGGAAUUGUCAAAAGCGGGUUUUGAUAACUAUGAGAAAACAGGUAUUGGAGGGAAAUCUUGGGUAUCAGGAGUUCUUGGUGAUGGGAUCAACAGUGGCCUCUUCGAGGCCAUUAUCUAAGGAUCAAACUCAUUUUUAGCAACAAAAAGCUAACAAACAAUCGAUCCGUGAAAUACCCAAUAAUAUAGAACGAAAUUACAAAGAACCAAAAACAAACACUAACACAGAUUCUAUAAACAAAGCAAACCCAGAAACAAGAACAAACUCAGGAACGAAAAUUAACUGUAGCUAGACAGAAAUCGCUAGAGUAAAAGAAAUAACAUGUGGAGCUCGAAACUUGUAUUGGAAAGAAACAGUCAGCAACAGCAGCAGCUAGUUGCAGGUAAAUACAGAGAGAUAGAGAGAGAAAAAGAGGCACAUAUAUUCUGAUAUCACAGAGAAUUGUUAGAGAUACGUGUUUGGAAAGCAGAGAGGAGAAUUGCAGAAAGUCAAUGCAUGGAAAAGAGCAGAAGAGGACGGAAACUACAAGAAAUGAGGAAGAGUCUCAAUGGGUGGCGACAAGAAGGAUCAACAAUCAAACGGAGAAAAAUCAAAAUCAGAAAGGGAAAGACUUGAACAAAUAAAGAAGAAAAAGAAAAAGGAAAAAAAAAAAUAAAUUGUUAACUUGAUUUAAAGGAGGAACAUCUCAACUUUUGGUUUCAAGUUGAUGAAUUUGCAGUUAUGGGGCUCUAAUUUUGAUGGUAGAGGUAUUGGUUUAGGGUUGGGGAUUGGAUGAAUAGGAGGUGAAUUUGGAGAUUCCAUGACAGAACCUCAAUUCUUCUUUGUUUGGUUUUUCCUUUAUCAUAAUUUGAUCUGUACAAGGGCUAAGAGAUUAGAGAUAUUGGAGAGGAGAAAAAGAUGAGAUCCAAACCAAUCAAAUGAAUGGGGAGAUGGCAGCAUGAAGGCAAGCAGAUUUUUGGUGUAUUUUAGAAAAACAUAAUUUUAUGAUUUUUUAUUUAGUAUUUACUUUUUAAAAAAAAAUUCAACCAAUCAAUGGCAACGUCUUCUUUCUCAUUUGUCCUAAAAUAGAUGGUUCUUACAUUGAAAGGGAAUUUAAAACGUGAGAGCUUUAGUUGCACGAGGAUUUUGUAGCUUGGGAUUUAAUUUGAAAGUUGCAAAAAAAGUUGGGACAAUUUUGCAAUUAAACCUUAAUAAUUUAGCAUAUACGAACAUAAACUGACCUUUUGUAGUAAUUUUUCAUCAGCAAGUUGCAAUUUAUGCUCAAGCUCCUUUACUUGCUUCUCCAGAAGUAUGAUUUCCUUGUUCU
rnacentral:misc_RNA from 1 species